rnacentral:rRNA from 1 species
CCUACGGGAGGCAGCAGUGGGGAAUAUUGGACAAUGGGCGAAAGCCUGAUCCAGCAAUUCCGCGUGUGUGAAGAAGGCCUUCGGGUUGUAAAGCACUUUAGUGGGGGAAGAAACAGCUUGGCCACACCAAGCCUUGACGGUACCCCAAGAAUAAGCACCGGCUAACUCUGUGCCAGCAGCCGCGGUAAUACAGAGGGUGCAAGCGUUAAUCGGAUUUACUGGGCGUAAAGGGUGCGUAGGUGGCUAUUUAAGUCGGAUGUGAAAGCCCGGGGCUCAACCUCGGAAUUGCAUUCGAUACUGAGUGGCUAGAGUUCGGUAGAGGGCGGCGGAAUUUCCGGUGUAGCGGUGAAAUGCGUAGAUAUCGGAAGGAACAUCAAUGGCGAAGGCAGCCGCCUGGGCCUGGACUGACACUGAGGCACGAAAGCGUGGGUAGCAAACAGGAUUAGAUACCCUGGUAGUCCACGCCGUAAACGAUGAGAACUUGACGUUGGUUCGUUUUACGAAUCGGUGUCGCNGCUACGACGAUAAGUUACUCCGUCCGUCGGGUAGGUACGGCCGGCCGAGGUUAGGUAAACGUUAAAGGUAAAGUUAGUACGGUUCGUUGUAGACGUUGCCGACGGACGACGACGAGGGAGGAGG